rnacentral:lncRNA from 1 species
AAGAAAGGAGUCUUUAAAGUAGUAUAUAAAUGUGUGAUUCAUUAUUAAUAUAAUAUAUAUAAAAUUACAAACAAUAGAGUCAAGUAACUUGAAAAACAACUAAAAAUGCAUAAACUUUAUCAUCCAAAAAGGAGUAGCGGAUAUUAUCCGCUUUACUUCCAUUAUGGUGUAAUUCAUACUGUAUUUCUUAGUCAUACAAUUAAUACAAUAAAAAUACUACUAUCAUUAUAACCUCAUAUAAUUUCAUCACAUAAAUGAGGCAAUGUGUGUACUAUUAGUGAAUAUAUUUAUUUAAUACAUAAUGCAACAUAUCUAGGGUAUUAUGGAUUGAAAGUGAUUUGGGAGAAAAAUGGAGAGGAGAAAAAAGAAUUGGUUGAUUCGGACUGUUGGGAACUGGAUGGAGCCCUGGGUGAAUGCACAGUGGAAUGUUGAAAAAGAAUCAGUGGAUGGAAUGCUAGAAAUGUGGGAUGACUUCCUUCAAGGAAAUGAUAUACUAAAUCUCGAUAAAUCUGACAAAGAUGAUUUUGGUAAAGAUGGCGAUGGUGAGGGUGUUGGUAGUGUGGUGUUGUUUGAGAGAAAACGCCGCAUCACAUUGUGCUUGUCAUUUUUACGACAAAGAAGUAAGCUAGGAUGAAGAAUUUGGAGGAGCCAUUGAUGAUAACUUGAGAAUUUGUAUUGAGGAUGAAGAUAGUUGGAAUUUGAUGAGAUAGAAAAUGGGGAUGAUGGUCUUUUUGAUAAUUAAAGGGGUUUUAAAAAAGAGAGAAAUUUAAUAUAAUAAAGCCGCUUACUUUCUUUAAAUAUUUUACUUUGGUCUAAAAGUAUUUUGUGGUUUAAAUUGUUGCUAAUUAUAGAGGUAGAAUACAAUGAUUUUUAUUCAUUCUAUUCUAUUAUCAAUUUUAUUUAGGAUUGUAUUGGGAUGAAGAUCAUAUUAUUUGAUAAUCCUUCUAUAUUGGGUCUAGAAAUCUAAAAUCUAACAAUUUAAUAAAUAGACAAACCAUCUUGUAAGCAAGCUACUGAGCUAUAAAUGUAGAAGUACAUUUGUACAAUAAAGUUUAACAUUGCUAUUUUGAGUUUAGAUAAACUCACACUUCAAUGGUACUUCAAAUUGAAGUAGAUUGAAAGUUACAAUAUAUAAAAUACAUCACGGAUAAACCUCUAUAAUUUAUUAAAGAUGAUAAAUGAGGUUAUAAAAAAGAAAGAUAUAAAAAGAACUAAAAGGAGUACAAAAAAUAAUUAAAAUGGCAUCAAGGACUACUUCAACAUCAGUUCACAAAAUCUAUUCAAUCUGUAUCGACCAUCAAAAAGAGCAAAACAAAUAAAAGAAGCACAUAUCAAAAUGAACAAACAACGGCCAACCAAAUAAAGACGAUAUAAGCAUAUUUGAAUCGAGAUCAAAGUAACUGAGAUCAAAUCACUUACCUCUUUUAGUUUUAGAUAUUCAUGUUCUAUUGACUAACAGAUCGAUCUCCCUACAUGUACAACGAAACAUCAAUAUCCAUCACAUAAGAUUUUAGUCAUAUACCGAACGGACUGUUAGUGUGGCUGAUAAACCAUCAGUAUAGAUGUAUAACUACAUACAUUUAAACAAAGGUAUAUGAUCGAUCAUGUAUAAAAAAUACUAUAGGUUUCCGUAAACAAGAUUGUUUUCUUCUUUUUUUAUACUUUCCAUCUAUAUAUUAUUAUAUUAUUAUUUAUAUUAUUAUUAUUAUAUUAUUAUUAUUAUAUUUAUAUUAUUAUUAUUAUUAUAUUAUUUUAUUAUUUUAUUAUCUAUUAUUACUUUUCAAUUUUAUCUUCUCUUAUUUUAAAGUAGUUAAAAAUAUUUAAUAAUUUUAAAAUAAAAAUGAAAGAUGGAAAGUAUAUAUUUAUUUAUAAAAAAAAGGAAAAGUUAAAUAAUCAUAAUAAUGUUUAAGAGUUCUCUGAAGAUUUAAAUUUACACUAUUACAAAAAUAUCUACACCAAAAACAUAUAUGUUAACCUACAAAGAUCAAUUAUUUCUUCCAUCCGUUUUUAUUUUCAAAGCGAUUCCUCCAAAAUUCCUUUUCUCUCUAAAAUUUCAUUUUCACACAAUAUUAUUCCCUUUCAAAAUCUUGUUACCUCGGUACUCUUUCUUACAAGUAUAUUACCUUCCUAAAUAUUCUAAACCAUAACCAUAAGCGAAAAUACAUAAGUUGUCGGCGAAGACAAUAUGUUAAUCAAUUUCCUGGACGAGAAGAGAAACUAAUUGUCAAUAAUGACAGGAGAUUUGAGUGCUAUAUGGCUAGGAAGGUAAUACGUUAUUCUAGUAUCUGGCAAGUCUUUCCUUUUCUUUUCUUUGUUAAAUUUCCUAGAUUGUUUUUAGGCGCUUUGAAUUAAAUCACCCACGACUCUUAACCGUACUUAACGAAACUAUUGUUUCACGUUCAGCAAACCCUCUUCUCCUCCUAGCCUUCUCUGGUACAAUGAAAAACAAGAAAGAGAGAAUCAAUAACAUCUGCCAAAAAAAACAACACGAGAUUUGCUACUUUGAAUCAAGUUAAUUAGGUGAAAUUUGCAACCCAAAUUGAGUAUCAUGAUAAAUCAAGUUAAUUAGGUGAAAUUCACAACCAAAUUUAUUGAAGUUUGCUACUUUAAAAUUUGUCAUGAAGUUCAUUAAGCAUAUGAAUUUGUGAAAUUUAUCACUCUAAUUACUAACAUUUAGAAUAUCAUCCUCUAAAAGGUGUCAGAGGCUAGAACAUCAUAGUCCUGAGCGGACACCUCUAAAAGAGUCAGCGUUGAAUAGCAUGACCUCUGAGCUUUGUUAGCUUCUGAACCAUCAACUUCUGAAGAAGUCAGGGUGGGAACUAAUUAUAAAUCGCUAGAGUCAUAAGAAACUUAUUAAGAGAUGGUUGGGAGUCUGACCAGCUUCGAGAAGGUGGCUGGAGUCUGAAGCAGCUUCUACAGAGUGACUGAGUCUGAAGAUGCAGAUCUAGAAGUUAUCGUUUCUGAUGUUAUGCAUUUGGUGAAGUUUGAUUAAGGACAUGUGUGUAUUAAUUCAAGCUUAGUUAGUAGUUAUUACUUAUGUAAUAAAUAUACUACUAUGUAAUUUGACAACUCCCUUAAAUAAUAAUAUCAUUUAUUCUCAUUCUCAUCUCUCUUCUCUUCCCUCCUCUCCAAUACUCUUUAUCUUUCUCUCAAUUAAGUUCCGUAACGUAGGUGUAAUAACACCAAGGUGGAUGUGGAAGAUGGAAUAUUUUGUUAGGAAAGUAGGAAGCGGUGGCAUAGUGAGUUUAGGAAGAGAUGGAAUGUUUAGUUGCGAUGCCAUGUUGGAAUAUUUCCAAGUAAAUGUGGCAAUGUUUGAAUCAAGGUAAAGGUGGCAAUGUUGUUAGAUUUUGCAAUUUUAUUUUAGAUAAACUUAGUUGUAUGGUGAUUACAAAUGAUUGCGAGCUUCUAGAGUUGUAACUGACUUGUCACAUAAAAAGUAAAGCGUGAUGAAGGAUUUUGUUGAGCCAUUGAUAACUUUGGAGCUGUAAGAGUAAUCAUUAGUAUUGAACUAUUUUCUUUGAAUUUUAUGAGAAGAAAAUGACUUCUAUAUGGUUUAUAUUGGUGUAAGAUAUUUGAAGGAUGGUAGUUUAGUGACAUUGAGAGCAUUUGAAAUCUUAACUUUGUUUAACUUCCUUAUUGGAUUUUGACGAGAGCAUUUUUUUUUUUUUUUUUUAUUUUUGGUUUUUUUUUUUUUUUGUUUUUUUUUUUUUUUUUUUUUUUCUUUUUUUUUUUUUUUUUGUGUUUUUUUUUUUUUUUGUGCAUUUGCUUUGCCCGGGCUUGUUGUUUUAUUUUUUUUUUUUCUUUUUUUUUUUGGUCUUUUUUUUGAUCGGACAGGGUGGUGCCUUGCGGUGAGAGCUGUCGGGAUUUUGUUUUGUUUUUUUUUUUUUGUUGUCUUUUUUUUUUUUUUUUUUUUUUUUUUUUUUUUUUUUUUUUUUUUGUUUUUUUUUUUUUUUUUUUUUUUGUUUUUGUUUUUGUUUCAUUUUUUUUUUUUCUGUUUUUAUGUGUUCAUAUAUGGCCUACAAUAAGUAAAGCACUCAAUGAGUUUGAGAGACACACACUUUUCAAUCCAAGCUCUUCAUCACCAAACCACCCGUUAACCUAGAUGAACUCCUAUUGCUUCUAACGAUUAUUGUGGUGAUGUUCAUUGAGACUUGUAUCAUGAUUCGUCACUUUGCAAACAUAAUAUUAAUAGUAAUCGCCAUUACAAGGUGUUAAUUAAAUUGAACUUUCGCUUACCAGAGUAAACUCAUUAUAGAAUUGUUGAAAAGGUACAAAACUAUGUGAUAAAUUAAAAAACAAACUACAGGUGUGACGAUGACAAUAAGAGACCCCAUAAUUAACCUCAAUGUAAAAGCAUGCGAGUCUCACGUUGCAGUGGGGCACAAGAUGAAAUUUCAGCUAAUCUAAACUAAAACAGUAGAUAAAUUAGUAAUAUGCACGCUAAAAUUUACAUAUUAAAUUCGCAUUCUCUAAUAAGUAUAUGAUUAAUAAAAUCACAAACUAGAAAAUGGAUAACUCAAGAAAACAACAGUUUGACCUACUCCACAAAAACUUAUCACACAAUAAUCAAAGAGAUAACCUUGGUGAAAAUAUAACAACGGUAGUCUCAACAAAACCAACCAAUUUUUACUAUUAUACUGUGCCUAACUUUUUUUUAAAAUGACGUCUAUCAUUUAAUUGUUCUGAUGUUUUUUUUCAUAUUUAAAAUUGUUGUAUGUUUAAAUUACUUUAAGUUUUCUACAAAGAUUUUGUCAGGUUUCUUAAAAUUCAAGCAUUUUAUUUUUAAUGGAAGGAUAUUGAUCCUUCACCGAAAUCUCAUGUUGAAAACAACAUUCGAAAAUAACUUUAAAGAGUAAAAAUACAUCACAUGAACACAUAAAUUAAAGAAAAAUUAACAAUAUUAAAAAUUAAACAAAAGAAAGAAGGAGUCUUUAAAGUGUAUAUUAAAUGUGUGAUUCAUUAUUAAUAUAAUAUAUAAAAUACAAACAAUAGAGUCAGUAACUUGAAAACAACUAAAAUAUCAUAAACUUUAUCAUCCAAAAGAGUAAGCGGAUAACCGCUUUACUUCAUUAUGGUGUAAUUCAUACUGUAUUUCUUAGCCAUACAAUUAACUACAUAAAAGUACUAUAUCAUUAUAACCUCAAUAUAUUCAUCACAUAAAUGAGCAAUGUGUGUACUAUAGUGAAUAUAUUUAUUUGAUACAUAAUGCAACAUAUCUAGGGUUUAUGGAU